GAUGAACGCUGGCGGCGUGCCUAACACAUGCAAGUCGAGCGAAUGGAUUAAGAGCUUGCUCUUAUGAAGUUAGCGGCGGACGGGUGAGUAACACGUGGGUAACCUGCCCAUAAGACUGGGAUAACUCCGGGAAACCGGGGCUAAUACCGGAUAACAUUUUGAACCGCAUGGUUCGAAAUUGAAAGGCGGCUUCGGCCGUCACUUAUGGAUGGACCCGCGUCGCAUUAGCUAGUUGGUGAGGUAACGGCUCACCAAGGCAACGAUGCGUAGCCGACCUGAGAGGGUGAUCGGCCACACUGGGACUGAGACACGGCCCAGACUCCUACGGGAGGCAGCAGUAGGGAAUCUUCCGCAAUGGACGAAAGUCUGACGGAGCAACGCCGCGUGAGUGACGAAGGCUUUCGGGUCGUAAAACCCUGUUGUUAGGGAAGAACAAGUGCUAGUUGAAUAAGCUGGCACCUUGACGGUACCUAACCAGAAAGCCACGGCUAACUACGUGCCAGCCGCCGCCGUAA
rnacentral:rRNA from 1 species